GACCUGAUGGUGAAUGGUUCACACCCAUCCUCCUUUCGAGUUGAACUGAGGUGAAUAGAAAAUGGGAGUCCCCGGUUCGAUUCCGGGUUGGGUCA